UGUCGGAGUAGACAGCCCGGUAGCUCGCCAGCCUCAUAAGCUGGAGGCCGGUGGUUCGAAUCCUCCCUCCGCAACCA
rnacentral:tRNA from 1 species